rnacentral:rRNA from 1 species
GACGAACGCUGGCGGCGUGCUUAACACAUGCAAGUCGAACGAUGAAGAAAAGAAUUGAAGCUUCGGCAGAAAUUCAUUUCGGAUUAGUGGCAGACGGGUGAGUAACGCGUGAGCAACCUACCUCUUACAAAGGGAUAGCCUCGGGAAACCGGGAUUAAUACCAUAUAACAUUGCGACGAAGCAUUUCGAUGCAAUCAAAGCUACGGCGGUAAGAGAUGGGCUCGCGUCCCAUUAACCAGAUGGUGAGGUAACGGCUCACCAUAGUAACGAUGGGUAACCGGCCUGAGAGGGUAAACGGUCACACUGGAACUGAGACACGGUCCAGACUCCUACGGGAGGCAGCAGUGGGGAAUAUUGCACAAUGGAGGGAACUCUGAUGCAGCGACGCCGCGUGAGUGAUGAAGGAAUUCGUUUCGUAAAACUCUGUUCUAUGGGAAGAAAAGGACUGUACCAUAGGAGAAAGCUCCGGCUAAAUACGUG